UACGUAGGGUGCAAGCGUUAAUCGGAAUUACUGGGCGUAAAGCGUGCGCAGGCGGUGAUGUAAGACCGAUGUGAAAUCCCCGGGCUUAACCUGGGAACUGCAUUGGUGACUGCAUUGCUGGAGUAUGGCAGAGGGGGGUGGAAUUCCACGUGUAGCAGUGAAAUGCGUAGAGAUCGGAAGGAACACCCGUGGCGAAGGCGGCCAACUGGGAUACACCUGACGCUGAGGCACGAAGGCGUGGGGAGCGAACGGG
rnacentral:rRNA from 1 species